GGAACUCCUAUUUCCUUUUAUUACAUAAUACAAUCCAAGCACCCAACACCUGUGUGCAUUUGUGUGCCUAUCAAACAACCUGCCAUGUGAGGUGCUUAUUUUUCUUUAUAAGCAAGGAAACCAUAACAUCUUUGGGACCCAAGUGAUUUUAGUAUCACUGACAGAUUACACAUUAGACUCUGUGUUACGGUCUCUACUUUAGGGGAAAAAGGAAAAAAACCAACACGGGCACCUGGACUUGAGUCUUAAAAGGACUGGCUGAUCAUUAGAAUCAAACAGAAAUACUGAAAAACAAACAAAAAACAACAAAUCUUUAAGUCAGACUUUGGAGAUACUGAUUUAAACAUAAAUAUUUUUAAAACUGCUUAGCUGAUGACCACUCCCCAGGUUUGGAAACCCUGAGCUAAAGCUGAAAUGGGGCUGGGGUGCAGGGAGGGAUCCACAGGCUAUGACUGGAUCGUCUUCCUCCUAAGGGUGUGGGAGCCAGCAACAGCCUGUACACUCAGUGAUGCCUCACACAAACUCGGCAGGGAAAAGACCAAGGCUGCACACUUACCUUCGAGCACCUAUCUGGGGGAGCAGCACUGUCCUCUCCACAAGCUUGUGAGGGAGGAGGGGCCUUAAACAUGGGGAACAGAGAGGAAGGAGAAGCCCCAAGGAGAGCAUCUACAGCAAAUGCAUCUCCAACCACUGUCAUUCCAGGAUGCCGUUAAGGACGCAGUAUGGAUUCAAGGGUAUGAGUCAUCACGUGUUAGAGAAAAUUAACAGAGUUUGCCUUGAGCACAGAGAAGAGGCUGGAGGUAAGAUAACCCAAAUGGGUCAAAAGAGUCUGGAGCUUGAAAAACAAGGUGUGUUACAAAGGAUAAAUGCAGUGGAGCAAAAGAGGGGAAAACAUCUAUCCCAUCUGUGCAGCUCUAAGCCUAAAACAUGGCAAUCUUUAUUUGGAAAAAAAAAGUUAAUGAAGAUUAUGGAACACAAAAUGACUUUCCAUCAACUUAUUUCUCUGAAAGAAGCCUGAAUUUGCAUUUUCAUUGAACUGAUCAAACGUUAUCUAAGAACUGCUUAAUUGCCUUAAUGGUUUAAUUCUAUUUGCUGCCAAUCUGAUUAGCAAAGAGUGUGUCUGUGUGUGCACCCGUGUGGGCUGGCAUUAAACGGGAGGGUGAAACCUAUUACUGAAAGAACAGCAAUGGGGAGCUGGCUGGCUUUUGGUUAAUUGAGAAACUAUGAGUGGUGUGAGGAGGUCACUCUAUCAUUUAUUUUAAUUUCUUCUCUCUCAUCCUCCCAGUCACUUUUUCAACUCAGGAACCUGACUUGGAGUUGAGACCACUAAGAGCAGGUGUUAAUUUGGGUUAAGGAGAAGGUGAGCCCAGGUAGUCCUGCCAGUGUUGUGAUUUAAUGGGAAACUGGAUCAAAUAUAACAGAUCCUCUGAGUCUCAGUCAGACAUGGUUAACAUGGAAUGAAGAAACAUUUUCUGGAAGUUAAUAUAUACGUUAAUCUUUUGGAGAGUUUACUUUGUGGCGAAGCGGAAACGAAUCCAACUAGAAACCAUGAGGUUUCAGUUUGAUCCCUGGCCUUGCUCAGUGGAUUAAGAAUCCAGCGUUGCCAUAAGAUGUGGUGUAGGUCACAGACGUAGCUUGGAUCUGGUGUGGCUGUGGCUGUGGCCGGCAGCUGUAGCUCUGAUUAGACCCCCAGCCUGGGAACCUCCAUAUGUCAUGGGUGCAGCCCUAAAAAAGGCAAAAAAAAAAAAAAAUUCUUUUGGGACCUUGUAACAAUAUAUAACCUAACAAAGUAAAAGUAAUCUCUUUCAACCAGCUCAGGAAUACCUACUGGUAAAAGCACUGGAAUAGUUCCCUUGGGGUGGGGCAAAAGCACAGGACGGCUAUUUUGGAACCAGAACCAGUUCUGACUCUCUGGAAGUCACAUUCUGUCUCUGUUUCUCAGUGUCCUCACCUUCAAGCUGGAAUGACUGGUUUUAAGUUUGUUUUGUACAGAGGCCCUGGAUUUCAGAGGUGUAUCAGGACCUUCACAGGAAGUUCAAGGGAAGCUGGGGAGACCCCACCCCCAAUUCUGAGCACCCUCAUCCUCCUUGGAUUUAACUGGAGACCCUGCAUAUCAAUCGGUUUGAGGUACUGAUGCGCUAGACAAGAUUUGGGUUGAAAAAAAAUAUUUCUUAGGUUCAAAUUAUUUGCUAAGUGCUGGAAUAAAUGAUCUUUAAAAUUCUGUAGAGUUUUAAUAAAGCUUUCCCUUCGGAAUACCCUGUUUGUUCAGCUAGGAAAAUUCAACUUCCUCUUUACAACUUUUUGAGCUUCAACUCCUUCAAGACUUAGCUCAGAUGUUGUCUUUUCUCAAAAACCUCCCUCAAAGGGAAGUGCAGCUGUGCAGGGAACUUCUCUGCUGGAAAGUUCUGUGGCUAUUUUGGACAAAGAGUACUCUUUCCUAAGCUUAAGAUACUAGAUACUCUGGUGAUUGGGACAAGGAGCCCAUACUUUGGAUUCUGAAUGAUAUAAAAAAGGGUUGAUGUAAGGGGGGCAAUAUAUAUCAAGAGCCUGAAGAAAUUCAUUUCCUUUGAUGUAGCAAUAACACUCCCAGAAACAUAUCCUAAAGAUUUAUUACAAGGAAGUUCAUUCCAGUAUUAUUUGUAAGGUGGUAAGGAUGAAAAAUUAGGGUGAAAAAACUAAGUGUAGAAUAAAAUAUUAAAUACAUGCACAAAAAUGGUUAAAAUUUUUUGAAAUACCAUAGUUAUUAAUUAUUGUGCUUUGGAAAAAUAUCUCAUGGGAAAAGGCUGAUUACAUAACAUUAAGCAAAGAAGGUAGGAAACAAAACUAUAUAUAAAAUAUGCUGACAGUGCUGUGAUUCAUUAUAUCCACUCAAAAGAAAUACUAAAAGAAUAUAGAAUGAUUGUGACAUUAAUUUUCUUCAUUAUACAUUGCAUCCCUUUCAAAAUUUAAAACUUUUCACUUUUACUAUAAUAAAUGAUUCUGAACAUUUGGCAAAGCAACAGGUUAUCUGGUAUUUUGUUUCCAUCAGCAUUCUCCAAUUCUUCAGCCACAUGACACUCCCACAUCACAAAUGUUUGGUGAGUCUAAAUCGUCUACCAUGAGAAGUUUGAAGACAAGGCUCCUGGAGGCAGGCCUAGGACAGCUGACCUUAAGCAGCGUGAGGAAGAGUCCUCUAGACAUGGGUCCUAGUCUCCUCUCUGCCACAGACUAGUUGCAUGGCUCCCUCAGCAAACAACUUCCAGUCUUGGGGCUUUAGUUUUGUCAUUUGCAAAGGAAAGAUGCAUGUCUUAUUCUUCUUUUCUAGCCCCAGUGUUUAGAACACUAGAAGUUAUCAAGAGUGUAUGUGAACUGUCAUGUGGAUUGAUGGAUAUGAGGAUGAGAAGAGGGCGGCUGUGAAUGAACUAUAAUGAAAGACUUUGAACAAAGAUAACCUAAACUUCCUAAUUCAAUGCGUCAAACCUGUAUUCUGAAUUAUCAGGCCAUCAAAUGAAACUUGGAACAUAAAUAGGGAAGCCUGGUUUGUUUUCCUUUUGAUCUUUCUAAGCCUAAAGUCCUAUAUCUUCAUAGACCAUCAACAUCUGAGAUCAGCACCUUAAGGAAAACUCUGAUUUCAUGAAGGAGAUGAACCAGGGUCACUGCUUAGGAGCAGGUAGUGAAAGCCAGACCCUGAAGUGGGAACAGCUGAGUUAGAGACAAAAGCGAUCAGUAACGUUUUGAUGAUCAGAGCCAGAAGAUCAAGAUUUAACUGCAUGAAAUAUGCACCUUGCAGAGGCAUUCAGGUUGCAAAUCAGAGCUCCAAAUGCCAAACACAACAACAGAAAGGCAAAAAUUUCUCAAGGGCAUCUGACUUGAGAUAGAGCUGAGAUUUAAAAAGACAGUGAGGGGUAGGGUCAUAAUUCUAGAAUGACACAGAGGACAAUAUCCCCAAGUGAUACUCAAAGAUGUGACCUGAUACAGCCCAUCUUAGUCACCAGGCUGACUCUGACCAGAAUAAGAUUCUCUGACCAGAUAAGAACAGCUUAGGGGCCACCAGAUGGAUGGAUAUAUGCUAUACUAAUGCACACACGAUCAGUGAUUAAGAGUCCCAUCUUACAGGACCCUUAGCUCGCAACCAGGGCACAGAAAAUAAAUUAAGCCUGCCUGCUUACUCUCCUAUACUCCAAUUCUACUUUAUGCGCAGGGAGCAGAAAAAUUGAGAAUACAUUCUGUCCUUCAUCUUUCUAGCCAUCAAAGCUCUUCUAGGUUAUGCCACCAGCUACGACUGUUCUCUUUUACACAGUGAAAACAUUUCUAAGUGAGUAGCCUAUUAAAUUUAGAGGAGUAAACUAUUCUUGCGUACGUCUUCAAGAUCUAUAAUAGGAGAUAAAUCCUGUUAGCCUGGGCAUGGCAAGGUAAUUGUUUCAACUGCUACAUUUCUGUGGAACAAACAAAACCAUUCCAGGCUUGCACAAUUCCUAGUUAAUGGCGAAGGGAAGAAACACUAUGUUUGCCAUGCCCAGAACACUGGCUGUCAUAGACCAGUGGCAACCGGAAUAGAAGGGAGGCCUCGUCUAUUAUCACCACUGGAAAGCAAAGUCCUCUGGGCUACAUAUGCUCACAUCGCCUGUCCAAACCAGCCUGUAAGCAAAUGGUGCUGAGCAAGAAGCAAGGAGAAAACUAUCAGGGUAGGAACAUCAGGGCAUUUUGGAUGCAAAGCAGAAGCUUAUCUUUUUUACUGUUGCAGCUCCAGAGAAAAUCAAUUUUGACACAGAACUGCCACUUUACAAGCAAAUAACUAUACUUUCCAAUAACCUAAUCUGUGCAAAGCCUACUGAAAAUUCCCUAAAGAACCAGUAGUUAAAACCUCCAUUAAAUCAAAGGGUUUAAUAUGGGAAGGGAAGAGAGGAUGCAGUUUGACUUGGGAAUGUAAUGGACUCAGUGGGGAAAUAAAUAGGUUGUUUUAUGUGUACAGUUACAGAAUAUGAGAACACGGCAUUCAUUUCAAAGGGAAUUCUCUUGCUGUGCAACUUAUUCCUAAACAGAUGUGAUUUUUGCUUAUUCAAAAACAUUUAGGUAACAAUUACAGCAUAAUAAAUUAUAAUUGCCAUCAUCUUCCAGCCACGUAAUGCCUUCUAUGCAAACACAAAGAAAAGGCAAUCACACAAAACUAUAAAGCCCAUUUUCAGGUAGGUUCUGCAGCCUGGAUUCAAAUAUUCUCCAUUAUUCUCACAUAAACACUGCAUUGUGCCUCAUCUAUAUAUCCUACGAUGGUGAGUGGAUACUACCUAGCAAAUAACUAAGGUCUGGAAAUCACAGCCUG
rnacentral:lncRNA from 1 species